UUUGCCUCUGACAUUUGCUUUUUUUUUUUUUUUUUUCCUCUCCCAUGUGUCAUUUUCUCCCUUCCAAAUUAGGACUUAUUCAGUUAAUUUCAUUUCCUCUUCCCAGAGUCUCUUUUCACAGCGCUGCACCGUGUGAACUUGACAGAAGAUUGUUAAAGCCCGAACGGGAACGUUGCGGUAACAUUAAUUGGGAGAGACCGUAUUCUAUAAAACGCAAUGCUACAUCAUUUCCACAAAAUUCAGCCCCGGCCGCUAAUUUAAAGAGUACGGCAGAAUAGUAAGGCUACUGAGAAGUGACCCCUCCGCCACACCUUCACCUCAGGUAUCCCAGGCUCACGAGGAGCAGAGCAAUGGGUUCUUGAACCAACUCAGUGAACCCAGAGCUCGUGUAGAAACGCUUGGAGUGUGUUGGCUGACAUUUUUGGUGGGAUACAGGGCAAUCGACAACGAGGCCAAGCCCAGUGUUGCCCUCACUGAGCGUCUAACUGAAGUUGAGUUUACUCAGCGUCUCUCACUUGCAAAUAAUAUUCCCCUUCAAAAGCUCACAGUCUGGGGGCGCCUGGGGGGCUCAGUCG